GACGGAGGGUGCAAGCGUUGUUCGGAAUUACUGGGCGUAAAGGGCGCGUAGGCGGUCUGUUAAGUUCGGUGUGAAAGCCCCCGGCUCACCUGGGGAACUGCGUCUGAUACUGGGUGGCUUGAAUUCGGGAGAGGGAUGCGGAAUUCCAGGUGUAGCGGUGAAAUGCGUAGAUAUCUGGAGGAACACCGGUGGCGAAGGCGGCAUCCUGGACCGAGAUUGACGCUGAGGCGCGAAAGCCAGGGGAGCAAACGGG
rnacentral:rRNA from 1 species